GCCUCGCCGGCCACCCAGCUCCGGGCACCGCCGGGGCCCCUCUGCCCACCCAACGGGCGCUCUGUGCUCCGGGGGAGCUCCCGUCUGUCUCUGUGGUCCGUGGGAGGUCCCACCAGUCUCUAUGGUCCUCUGUCUCUGUGGUCCAUGGGAGGUCCUGUCUGCCCACCCAACGGGUGCUCUGUGGUCCGUGGGAGGUCCCACCCUUCUCUGUCCUCUCGUGUCUCUGUGUUCCAUGGGAGGUCCUGUCUGCCCACCCAGUGGGUGCUCUGUGGUCUCUGGGAGGUCUUCUCUGCCCACCCAACGGGGUGCUCUGUGGUCCGUGGGAAGUCCCCCCCAUCUCUAUGGCCCCCAGAAGGUCCUCUGUCUGUCUCUGUGGUCCAUGAGAAGUCCUCUCUGUCCACCCAGCAGGGUUCUCUGUGGUCCAUGGGAGGUCUCAUCUGUCUCUGUGAUCCAUGAGAUAGAUGAUCCAUGUCUCCAUGACCCCCAGGGGAUCCUCUCUGUCCACCCAACAGGAUUCUCUGUGGCCCACGGGAGGUCCCACCCAUCUCUGUGAUCUCCAGGAGGUCCCUCCCAUCUCUGUGGUCCGUGGGAGGUCCUUCCUGUCCACCCAACAGAGUGCUCUGUGGUCCACAGGGUGUCCUCCACCCACCCAUCCCAGCUCUCCGUGGCCAUGGGAGCCCCUCUCCACCCCCCCCAGGCUCCCAUGGAGCCCCCUGACUCCAGGAGGGGUUAUUUUGGUGACCAUUGCCAAAAUCCCAGUGGGGACACUGGUGCCACCUGUGCCUCUGCCACCUCCUCCUCCCACGGUGGGGGGACCCAGCACCUGCUCCUCCUCCUCCUCCCCUGCCUUGGGGCCGGUGUCCCCGGGGAUGGAAAUGGGGACGUGGGGGGACAAUUUGGGGUGUCACAAAGGGGGGUGCAGGGACCACCCCCCUCCAGGGGCCGGGAGCUCAGGAGGGAUUAAAGCUGGGCUGGGUGCAGGAUCCGGGACAGCAGAUUAAUCCGGGGCUGGGGGGGACACAGGGGGGCUCUGCCCUGCCCUGACUCCCUAAGCCCAAAGCCGUUUUUUAAUUGAAACCCCGAUUCCUCAUUAAGUCCCUCAUUAAAGAGCAUCUUGCACCCCCUCCCUCCUCCCAGUGCCGCUGCCGAGGGGGGGCUCCCCCCUCGCUGUUCCCCCCCCUCGCUGUUGCCCCCCCUCGCUGUUGCCCCCCCAAGCCCCCCUGGCCGGGCGGUGCCAACCCCGGCUGCAUUUUUCCGGGCUGCGUAAUUCCUCGCCAUCGGCUUUUAUGGGCAGUGCUGGAGCCGGGGAGGAGCCUCAGGGAGCAGGAUCCGGCCCCACCAGUGCCCAGGUGCCCCCCCCGGGGUGGCAGCAGGGUCAGGACCCCCCCUCACUGCCCCCCCCUGCUCCGUGUCCCCGGUUCGGGGCUGUCCUUGUCCCCCUGUGGGAACCGGAGCUCGCAUCCUGGGAGUGCCCCCGGGAGUGCCCCCCGUGACGGGCACAACGGCAAGAAACGCCUCCCACCCCCCGAAAAAAACCCCUAAAAACCGGAGGAGUUAUUAAAACACCCCCAAA